CGACGCUGCCCGAUUUGAACCGCGCAUGCCUAAUGCUUUACCACACAUUCGUCAUUUUUUGUGUUGCCGUUUAUCUCUGUCUAUAAGUGGACUUCUUACUGGAAAAGACGGAAACUUUUGAAUUUUGUAACGUCUUGAAAGAAUAUGUGUCACCUGAAAAAUUUAACUCCAGUCGAAUGAAGAGGGAGCGAAAUGAAAUGCGACCUGUGUCUGUGAACUUUAUAAUGGAUACGUGCAGCUUUUUUUACAGUGAAGCAGAAGAGUCUGGUCAUGUUAUGAGGCAGCAGUUAAAGAAGAAGGAUGGAGAGAUGUGUGCCAUGUUGAAGUAGCAGCCUCCUGCCCGGCACUUCUAGAAUCCUUCAUCUCAAUCCCUGCUCUGAUCUGCUAUGCCUUUGCCAAGUGAUCAGGAGUUUAUUGCAGCGGUGCCACCUGCAUCUCCACCAUCUGGUACAUAAACUCUGACUGCCUGUGAUGCCAGAAAGAAGAAAAGUUCACAAGACAUCCUGAAAUGGAACAAUUAUGUAUGCUGGGAUGUGUAGAGGGGGGCUUUGGC